UUCUUCUUAUACCCUUGCAGGCAAAAUAAGGCAUACCUUUGUCUUUUCUCUAACAAACAGAAACAGGAAAGAAAUGCUAACCCGGAACAACGCCCAAAGAAAGCAAGGCAGGAUCCUGUGCGUAAAUAACUGGCCGAGAAUCCUGGAACGUAAGCUGUGACUUUAUUAAAUAUUAUAGUAAACCAACUCACUAUCCACAUUCCCUAAUACAUAUAUGCAAAAAUCCGCUUCCGGAAUAGCUUUGAUUGUCAUAGGCUUCCACUAGCAUUGACUAGCUUUCGUAGCUUUCCAUUAGCAUAGGCUUCCAUUGUUUCGACAGUCCUAG
rnacentral:misc_RNA from 1 species